rnacentral:rRNA from 1 species
GACGAACGCUGGCGGCGUGCUUAACACAUGCAAGUCGAACGGAAAGGCCCUGCUUUUGUUGUUUGCUCGUGUGGCGCACGGGUGAGUAACACGUGAGUAACCUGCCCUUGACUUUGGGAUAACUUCAGGAAACUGGGGCUCAUACCGGAUAGGAUCUCCUGCUGCAUGGUGUGGGUUGGAAAGUUUCGGCGGUUCGGGAUGGACUCGCGGCUUAUCAGCUUGUUUGUGGGGUAGUGGCUUACCAAGGCUUUGACGGGUAGCCGGCCUGAGAGGGUGACCGGGCACAUUGGGACUGAGAUAGGGACCAGACGCCUACGGGAGGCAGUAGUGGGGAAUAUUGCACAAUGGGCGGAAGUCUGAUGCAGCAACGCCGCGUGCGGGAUGACGGCUUUCGGGUUGUAAACCGAUUUGGCAGGUGACGAAGAGUGAGUGACGGUAAUGAGUAAAGAAGCAACGGCUAACUACGUG